rnacentral:rRNA from 1 species
AAAACAUCGCCUCCUGCAAAAAUCAACGUAUAAGAGGUCCUACCUGCCCAGUGACUUAGUUAAACGGCCGCGGUAUUUUGACCGUGCAAAGGUAGCGCAAUCACUUGUCUUUUAAAUAAAGACCUGUAUGAAUGGUGAAACGAGGGCUUAACUGUCUCCCUUUUCUAAUCAGUGAAAUUGAUCUACCCGUGCAGAAGCGGGUAUAAGUAUACAAGACGAGAAGACCCUAUGGAGCUUUAGACAUACGGCCAUCCAUGUUAAAAACCCCUAAUAAAAGGAACAAAACAAAAUAGCAAUUGACUAAUGUCUUCGGUUGGGGCGACCACGGGGGAAAAUAAAUCCCCCAUGUGGAAUGGGAGACUCUCCUAAAACCACGAGGUACACCUCUAAGUCACAGAAUUUCUGACCAAGGGAUCCGGCACUUAGCCGAUCAACGAACCAAGUUACCCUAGGGAUAACAGCGCAAUCCCCUUCGAGAGUCCUUAUCGACAAGGGGGUUUACGACCUCGAUGUUGGAUCAGGACAUCCUAAUGGUGCAGCCGCUAUUAAGGGUUCGUUUGGUCAACGAUUAAAGUCCUACGUGAUCUG